rnacentral:miRNA from 1 species
UCUGGACAGAAGCGUGUUCU